rnacentral:rRNA from 1 species
UUCCGGUUGAUCCUGCCGGGACCUGACUGCUAUCGGAUUGAUACUAAGCCAUGCGAGUCAUUGUAGCAAUACAAGGCAGACGGCUCAGUAACGCGUAGUCAACCUACCCUAUGGACGGGAAUAACCUCGGGAAACUGAGUAUAAUGCCCGAUAGAACACUAUACCUGGAAUGGUUUGUGUUUCAAAUGAUUUAUUGCCGUAGGAUGGGACUGCGGCCUAUCAGUUUGUUGGUGAGGUAAUGGCCCACCAAGACUAUUACAGGUACGGGCUCUGAGAGGAGUGGCCCGGAGAUGGGUACUGAGACACGGACCCAGGCCCUAUGGGGCGCAGCAGGCGAGAAAACUUUGCAAUGUGCGAAAGCACGACAAGGUUAAUCCGAGUGGUUUCUGCUAAAGAAACCUUUUGACAGUCCUAGAAACACUGUUGAAUAAGGGGUGGGCAAGUUCUGGUGUCAGCCGCCGCGGUAAAACCAGCACCUCAAGUGGUCAGGAUGAUUAUUGGGCCUAAAGCAUCCGUAGCCGGCUCAGUAAGUUUUCGGUUAAAUCUGUGCGCUCAACGUACAGGCUGCCGGGAAUACUGCAGAGCUAGGGAGUGGGAGAGGUAGACGGUACUCGGGAGGAAGUGGUAAAAUGCUUUGAUCUUUCGAUGACCACCUGUGGCGAAGGCGGUCUACCAGAACACGUCCGACGGUGAGGGAUGAAAGCUGGGGGAGCAAACCGGAUUAGAUACCCGGGUAGUCCCAGCUGUAAACUAUGCAAACUCAGUGAUGCAUUGGCUUGUGGCCAAUGCAGUGUUGCAGGGAAGCCGUUAAGUUUGCCGCCUGGGAAGUACGUACGCAAGUAUGAAACUUAAAGGAAUUGGCGGGGGAGCACCACAAGGGGUGAAGCCUGCGGUUCAAUUGGAGUCAACGCCGGA